rnacentral:rRNA from 1 species
AGUGAACGCUGGCGGUAGGCCUAACACAUGCAAGUCGAACGGCAGCACAGGAGAGCUUGCUCUCUGGGUGGCGAGUGGCGGACGGGUGAGGAAUACAUCGGAAUCUACCUUUUCGUGGGGGAUAACGUAGGGAAACUUACGCUAAUACCGCAUACGACCUACGGGUGAAAGUGGGGGACCGCAAGGCCUCACGCGAUUAGAUGAGCCGAUGUCCGAUUAGCUAGUUGGCGGGGUAAUGGCCCACCAAGGCGACGAUCGGUAGCUGGUCUGAGAGGAUGAUCAGCCACACUGGAACUGAGACACGGUCCAGACUCCUACGGGAGGCAGCAGUGGGGAAUAUUGGACAAUGGGCGCAAGCCUGAUCCAGCCAUACCGCGUGGGUGAAGAAGGCCUUCGGGUUGUAAAGCCCUUUUGUUGGGAAAGAAAUCCUGUCGAUUAAUACUUGGUGGGGAUGACGGUACCCAAAGAAUAAGCACCGGCUAACUUCGUG